AGCGAACGCUGGCGGCAGGCCUAACACAUGCAAGUCGAACGAACUCUUCGGAGUUAGUGGCGGACGGGUGAGUAACACGUGGGAACGUGCCUUUAGGUUCGGAAUAACUCAGGGAAACUUGUGCUAAUACCGAAUGUGCCCUUCGGGGGAAAGAUUUAUCGCCUUUAGAGCGGCCCGCGUCUGAUUAGCUAGUUGGUGAGGUAAAGGCUCACCAAGGCGACGAUCAGUAGCUGGUCUGAGAGGAUGAUCAGCCACAUUGGGACUGAGACACGGCCCAAACUCCUACGGGAGGCAGCAGUGGGGAAUCUUGCGCAAUGGGCGAAAGCCUGACGCAGCCAUGCCGCGUGAAUGAUGGAGGUCUUAGGAUUGUAAAAUUCUUUCACCGGGGACGAUAAUGACGGUACCCGGAGAAGAAGCCCCGGCUAACUUCG
rnacentral:rRNA from 1 species